UGUGUCUAGAGUUACAGAGCCUCAUCUGUCCAGAGGCGUAUGGGUGGAGAGACUCUCAGAUAUGUGUGUGUGUUCAGAUGCAGAGCUCACAGCGGCGUGGAGAAGAUGUUUACCAGCGCUGGACUUGGUUCCCGAAGCCAUUCUGAGUGUCUGAACGUAUGCAGACGGAGAGAAGAACGACAGAAGUGAAGAAAACAAACAUGGAGAGCAGAAGAACGAGGAGCACAGGGAGAGAGAGGAUGGAGGCACGCUUCUAGCUGAAUUGUGAGAUGGAUCUGCUGUGCAGCUGCAGGACGAGGACGAGGACGAGUGUGUGUCGUCUGUGUCUGCUGCUGUCUCUGCUCUGUGUCUGCGCUCACGUCUACAUGCAGCUCCAGGCUCCACGGAAACACAGCCAGCAUCAUCACCGGAGCGUCGCCACGGCAACAGAUGCUGCAGCGGAUGCUGGAUCCACCUGCUGCUCAGCGCUGCAUCAUCACAGACGGAGAGUUUCCAGAUGGAAGAUCAGGCUGGAGCCGUGGGCCGCAGGAACUGGAGGUUUUCAGGAGGAAGCGGAUCGGUUCCUCAGAUACAUCUCCACUCCGCAGCUGUCCUGCCAGAGACCCGCGUCUGUGCCGCCCGUGUUUGACGCAGUGCAUCAUGGGUCGUGGCUGCUGUGUUUGGAUCACAGGUUCAGUCUGGUGCAGCGCAUCGUGUCCAAACACUGUCGUGUCUACUCGCUCAGGUCAGUCCCUCGCUUCUGACUUUUAUUUGUGACACAUCAUAAACAUUUGAACCUCUAUAACAUGUUAAAAAUUUAAUUCAACAAAAAAAAUCACAUUAUCAAAAACAAAAACACAGAUCAGG